AUUGAACGCUGGCGGCAGGCCUAACACAUGCAAGUCGAACGAGUGGCGGACGGGUGAGCAAUGGCUGGGAAACUGCCUGAUGGAGGGGGAUAACUACGGGAAACGGUAGCUAAUACCGCAUACCAUCGGAUGUGCCCAGGUGGGAGUAGCUAGUAGGUGGGGUAAAGUCUCACCUGGGCGACGAUCCCUAGCUGGUCGGAGAGGAUGACCCGCUACACUGGACUAGAGACACGGUCCAGACUCCUACGGUAGGCAUCAGUGGGGAAUAUGGCGCAAUGGGCGCAAGCCUGAUGCAGCAAGGCCGCGUGUAUGAGGAAGGCCUUCGGGUUGUAAAGUACUUUCAGCGGGGAGGCGUUACCCGCAGAAGAAGCACCGGCUAACUCCGUGCCAGCCGCCGCGGUAAUAC
rnacentral:rRNA from 1 species